rnacentral:rRNA from 1 species
UGGGGAAUAUUGCACAAUGGGCGCAAGCCUGAUGCAGCCAUGCCGCGUGUAUGAAGAAGGCCUUCGGGUUGUAAAGUACUUUCAGCGGGGAGGAAGGGAGUAAAGUUAAUACCUUUGCUCAUUGACGUUACCCGCAGAAGAAGCACCGGCUAACUCCGUGCCAGCAGCCGCGGUAAUACGGAGGGUGCAAGCGUUAAUCGGAAUUACUGGGCGUAAAGCGCACGCAGGCGGUUUGUUAAGUCAGAUGUGAAAUCCCCGGGCUCAACCUGGGAACUGCAUCUGAUACUGGCAAGCUUGAGUGUCGUAGAGGGGGGUAGAAUUCCAGGUGAAGCGGUGAAAUGCGUAGAGAUCUGGAGGAAUACCGGUGGCGAAGGCGGCCCCCUGGACGAAGACUGACGCUCAGGUGCGAAAGCGUGGGGAGCAAACAGG